rnacentral:lncRNA from 1 species
CUUAGAGACUUAGGCCUGGGUGUUCUUGCCAGUGUGAAUGGGCAGGAUGGUGUAGUGAGGGUUCUGUGCAAAAGAGAAUUGCAAGGCUCCAAGUGAAACCCUGGAGUACAGGACAGUACUACAGUGUGCUGCCUUCCCUGUAAGAAAAGGAGGGAAAGGAUUUGCAUUGCUCAUAUGUACAUAAAAUAUCUACAGAAAGCUCCUCAGGAAACCGAAAAUAAUGGUCACCUCUCGGUAUCGGACCUGGAUGGAAAAACAUCAAAAAGAAAACUUAAAAGGGUCGCGGCAAUGGAGAAAGUGAACAUAAAGUACCUAACGCAAUGCCUGGCACAUAAAAGGUCUUGGUAAAUGAUCGUUAAUAAUCAACAGGGUUAUCAAUCCAAAUCAAGAGCAGAUAAUCUGCUUUGGCCUGGCCGUGAGGAAACAGGACUUAGAGACUUUCCUUCAAAUGCUCCUGCCCGCUGGAACUGCGUCAGCCAUCUAAGAAGUUGCUUUGCCAGCAGCAGCGCUGGUUUGUUAUCAAAGAGGUACCAGGCCUGCUUCCUGAGGCAUCACAGAGAAGAAGGUAAAGCUGCACAGUCGUCCUGAGACUCAAUGCCAUGUGCUGCCUGCAGUUGGAAAGCAAACCAUCUACACAGUGGAAUCCACGAGGAUUCAGUGGUGAUGUAUCUAAAAUUCAGGAAUCGUUACUUUGCUCUCCUUCACGAACCAGGAGCCUUUUCUCCCUCGAUGGCAGAAGGUCUUGGCUUGCACAGUGAGGGCUGCAGGUACAGUGGUUAAGAGGAACCAUGGCCACUGCUCCGAUUGCAUAGCAUCCAGUGCAAGACCAAAUGCGGGGAACCUGAUAGCAUCAAAUUCUAAAAUAAAAGUAUAAUAAUGGUGGAAGAAGGAUCUUUGUGCUUGUCUUAAUAGUGUUCAUAACACUUAUACUUACCGUGCUAGAAGGGAAGUACAC